rnacentral:lncRNA from 1 species
GAGUGUGUUGAGAGGAGUUGGUGGAGUUGGUGGAGUUUGGUGGAGUUGGUGGAGUAGGUGCUGCCCUUUGUGAUUUCCUUGUAUCUAGUGAGCUGUGUGUGGAUUUUGUGUUUGAUUGGUUUGUGUGUGAGCUUGUGUGUGUGUGUGUGUAGAUCAGUGUGUGCUUGGGAGGAGCUUGUGUGUGUGAGUUGUGUUUUAAGUUUAUUUGCGUCUCGUGAGUACCUUUGGGUUUGUGUGUGUGUGUCUGUGUGUGUUUGUGUGUGUAUAACUGUGGGUGACUGUUAAGAGCACCUGUGUGUUUGUACGUGAGUGUGUAAGACUGUGUGUGUGCACAAGAGCGUGUGUAGGUGCACAUGUUGUAGGUGUGAGAACACCUGUUGUGUUUAGGCCAUCAGUCAGCUUGGCCAUUGUUUCUAAGGUAGCAUUUAUACUUUGUUACCUCAAGUGGGCUCUGGGAGUCAAGAGAAAUCAGAAAAGCUCAGAUCCAAGCCCCCUUUCUCUGACAUGGAGAAAUUUCAUGCUCAAUAUGAAAUGCUAGAGACUAUCGGCCAGGGAGGCUGCGCCCAGGUGAAGCUGGCCCAGCACCGCCUCACAGGCACCCACGUGGCUGUCAAAGUGAUUGUAAAGAGGGAGUGUUGGUUCAACCCUGUCAUGUCUGAGGCAGAGUUACUGAUGAUGACCGAUCAUCCGAAUAUCAUCUCUCUCCUUCAAGUCAUCGAGACCAAGAAGAAAUUAUACCUCAUUAUGGAGUUGUGCGAGGGUAAAUCACUUUACCAACACAUCCAAAAUGCUGGCUACCUGCAGGAGGAUGAAGCAUGCCCAUUAUUCAAGCAGCUCUUAAGUGCUGUGAACUACUGCCACAACCAGGGUAUAGUUCACAGGGACCUGACACCUGACAAUAUUAUGGUAGAAAAAGAUGGGAAAGUGAAGAUCAUUGAUUUUGGACUCGGCACCCAAGAGAAGCCAGCGCAAAAACUCAACUUAUUCUGUGAGAAUUACCCAUUUAGUACCCCUGAGGUGCUCCUUAGCAGACCCUAUGAUAUGCGCAAGAUCGAUGUGUGGGGUCUUGGAGUUGUGCUGUAUUUUAUGGUAACUGGAAAGAUUCUGUUUGAUGCUGCCAGCAUAGAAAAGCUGCGAAAGCAAAUUGUUGCAGGAAAGUGUUCUGUUCCCUGUAGACUGUCAGUAGAGCUCCAAGACCUGAUUAGACUUUUAAUGACGGACAACCCCGAACUUAGGCCCACUGUUGCUGAAGUUAUGGUGCAUCCCUGGGUCACAGAAGGCUCAGGGGUGUUCCCAGAUCCUUGUGAAGAACAGAUAUCCCUCAAGCCAGACCCUGCGAUUGUAAAAGCAAUGGGAUAUAUCGGGUUCCGAGCUCAAGAAAUUGAAGAUUCGUUACGUCAGAGAAAAUUCAACGAAACCAUGGCAUCUUAUUGUCUACUGAAAAAACAGAUUCUUAAGGAAUGUGACAGGCCAAUCCGGGCUCAGCCCAUGAAUCCAUCGCUGACCCCAUUCCCUUCCCUUGUUGAUACUCCUACUUCCCAUCUCGGACUUCGGAGGAGAGAGACUGAACCCACAGGUCUCAGCUUAUCUGCCAAUAGGCAAGUGUCUGUCUGUGGCAAGAGUACUAGUAAGAAAAGAGACAGAAGUUUCAGUUGGCCCGGUGUUCUAGGCAGGCCGAUCCACACAACACCCACAAUGGACCAAACACACACCCGUACUAGGAGUGUUCCCUGCAUUUACUCAAAUUUUUGCACAAUCCAUCCAAACAGCAUCGAUGAGAGUACAGAAGGCCACACCAGUGCCUAAGCAGAGGAUAAGCCUGUCCGCAGCAGAGGCUGGCCCAGAGGCAUCAAGGGCUGGACUAGGAAGAUAGGAAAUGCGAUGAGGAAGCUCUGUUGCUGUAUCCCAUCAAAAGAGACAUCUCACCUGGGGCAGAGCAAAGUCUCCCCAAAAAAAUAAGACACAGGAAGGGUGUCAGGAGAAAGAGCAUCUGGCACGGCCCAGAAGAUCACCAGAGGAUGCCGGAUGCUAUGAUUCGACAGUUAUAAUAUUGGAAAGGACCCAUGUAUAGACAUUGUCCUGCAAAAGGGAACCUUGUGGAAAGGCAUCAUGUUCUGGGUUCAGCGUGCUUCACUCAGAGCCCCGGGUCCAGCCAGGGGGAAGAAAGCAAAUGAUGAAAUCCCAGAUGGCCUCAGGGAUCACCAUUCAGAGCAGGGGCUGAAAGCCUGUCUAAAGCUGGUAGAGACAGAAGGCCCUCUGCCUACCCAGUGUCAUAAUCAGACUCCUGCUCUGAGAAUAAAAUAGAUGUUUGUAAAAG